GGCUGCUUAAUUUUGCUCUGGAGCAUGUAACGGUAGCAAAGCAGAAAGAACGAGAGAAAUCGAGAGAAACGAGAUUAACUCUCUUGCUCGCUAUCUUUUCCUUUUCUACACCCAAUAGAUUUCACUAAUAUCUUCGAAUAUCUCACUAUAUUCGCUAUAAAGAAUUAACACCUAUUAUUUUUGUUUCUCUUUCUCUCAGAAGUCCAUGGAUUUAUCUCUAUGCAAAAAUGCAGAAAAAUAACAGUUUUGAUGGAAAAUGACUGAAUUUGCACCAACUCCAACGAGCGGAUGACUAGCGGUACUAAUUCACACGGUGUGUCCCACCCCCGCGUCCAUCACACAUGGCGGCGACGUGACCGCGAGCUCUAACAAGUGACCAUAAAUGGGGAGGAGGGACUGUGUGCGAUGGAACCGUGGCGGCGGCGGCGCCAAACAUGGUCAUCUGGUUGGGAUCUCUGAGUCAGAUCCUAAGAGCAGAUUGUUGAUCAACGACACAAACACACACACACGCGCGCACUCGGACAGCUUCACACAAUUCACAAUAACGAUGGCGGCGACGUCACAAUCAUAUAGAAUUAUUUCCGCAGUUUCAACAUUUGUUUUUCUCGUUUUCUCACACUCCAAUCAUUUUCCGUCCCUUUUGGCCCCCGCCCGCGAAUAACGCCGACCGGAGGGCACCACUGACACAGUGAAAAUAAAAAUCUUGAGUUGCUGCGGUGGGAUUCGAACCAAGGCGUUCUUAUACGCUAGGAGUGUGCGCGCGAGCAGGAUAGCCUGUGAGCGUGCUAAAAUUUGAUUUCGAUUUUUGCUUGGUUUUUGCCAAAAUGAGGUUAAUUUAAACUGCAAAAAAUACCACCAACUUUUUCACAGUGAUGCCCACACAAUGCGAUGUCGAAUGAUGAUGAUAAUCUGGAAAACAAAUAGUCGUUCGGUUUUAUUGUUCUCAAAUCGGGCUUGAGUCUUCUUCUUUUGCUUCUUCUUCCGAGGCGUGGAAUAUUUGCUGUUCUUUGUCCUCCCCGGUGAAAUACUGCUGCUGGAUGGUAAUGUUCUUCGUUUUUCCAAGCUAAAUGUUGUUGCUCUCUCUCCGUGGUAGAGCAAAUAUGUGCCCCAUACUAGAGCUGCGACGAUUCGUCGUCGAGAGGCAUAAAUUACAUUUAGUUACUGAGCGACUGAGGUAAAUGGAGUCCCCCCCUAAUCGAACAGGCGCAACAGGUAAGCAGUUUACACGGGGAGCUGGAGCAUUUUCCCACGGAUUUCCAGGAGGUGAUAAUUUUGCUCAAUUGCUAAAUUUAUUGCUCUAUUUGGGCGGAGGGGAAUUUAUCGACGGCAAAGAUUGCCCCGAUUAUUGUUAUGUUUAUGUUUAUUUUUCGUGUUUUGGAUAAAGCUUUACCCUAGUUAACCCCAAUUUGGAAUCAAAAAAAGUAUUGAAUUGAUCUUGAAUACUGUUUGUAAAAUUUUGUUUCAAUUUAAUAAGUAGAUAACGCAGAGAGUGAAAAAAAAACUUGAUCUCCUGUGGGAUUCAAACCGCGGCACUAUAAUGUACGAGGAUGCGCGCGAGCAUGAUAAGCUGAGGGCGUGCUUAAACUCAAUUUCACGUUUUUUGCUUGUUUUUUGCCAAAAUAAAAAUAAGAAAAUACCAUGAAAAUUCCAACCAAUUUUUCACAGUGAUUGCCAAACUAUGCGAUGUCGAUGAUGAUGGUUGAUGUUGAUAAAAAAAUAUAUUUUAGUCGCAAUCGAA